AUGGUUUCAAGUUUGGCACUCAUUAGGAAGAUAUUCAUUCCCAUGACAAAUGAAAAUGUCACAGCAGAGCCAUCUCCAGUAAGGAAAGCACACCCAGUGAGUAGCAGAAUGCUGCCUGAAGAACUUCAGUCUGAGGUAUGCAAGCAAAUGGAGCACAAACCAAGGAGGCAUCUGCUCACAGGUGGAGUGCUUCCUGCAACAGAUGGGCUCUCAGGACAGUGUCAGGGAACAAAAGGAAGUUGGAAUAAGCUGGUGCUUUUUUUCUUCUCAUUUAGUUGGCAUGUACAGUGUUCUUCCAAACAGAAUGAGAAUACAAAUCAGGUCUGGGUAGUUCUUACUAGUUUUUGGUAAAAUUGGGGGCGUGGAAAAGGAUGGAUAAAAUAAAGAAGCAGAUGUAUGGUGGCA
rnacentral:lncRNA from 1 species